rnacentral:rRNA from 1 species
GACGAACGCUGGCGGCGUGCCUAAUACAUGCAAGUAGAACGCUGAAGGAGGAGCUUGCUUCUCUGGAUGAGUUGCGAACGGGUGAGUAACGCGUAGGUAACCUGCCUGGUAGCGGGGGAUAACUAUUGGAAACGAUAGCUAAUACCGCAUAAUAGUAGAUGUUGCAUGACAUUUGCUUAAAAGGUGCAAUUGCAUCACUACCAGAUGGACCUGCGUUGUAUUAGCUAGUUGGUGGGGUAACGGCUCACCAAGGCGACGAUACAUAGCCGACCUGAGAGGGGGAUCGGCCACACUGGGACGGAGACACGGCCCAGACGACUGCGGGAGGGAGCAGUAGGGAAUCUUCGGCAAUGGACGGAAGUCUGACCGAGCAACGCCGCGUGAGUGAAGAAGGUGCUCGGAUCGGAAAGAUCUGUUGUAAGAGGAGAACGAGUGUGAGAGUGGAAAGUUCACACUGUGACGGUAUCUUAACAGAAAGGGACGGCUAACUACGUG